rnacentral:rRNA from 1 species
GUAGGUGGCAAGCGUUGUCCGGAAUUAUUGGGCGUAAAGCGCGCGCAGGUGGGUUCUUUAAGUCUGAUGUGAAAGCCCCCGGGCUCAACCGGGGAGGGUCAUUGGAAACUGGGGAACUUGAGUGCAGGAGAGGAAGGUGGAAUUCCACGUGUAGCGGUGAAAUGCGUAGAUAUGUGGAGGAACACCAGUGGCGAAGGCGACUUUCUGGCCUGUAACUGACACUGAGGCGCGAAAGCGUGGGGAGCAAACAGGAUUAGAUACCCUGGUAGUCCACGCCGUAAACGAUGAGUGCUAAGUGUUGGGGGGUUUCCGCCCCUCAGUGCUGCAGCUAACGCAUUAAGCACUCCGCCUGGGGAGUACGGUCGCAAGACUG